GACGAACGCUGGCGGCGUGCCUAAUACAUGCAAGUAGAACGCUGAGGGAGGAGCUUGCUUCUCUGGAUGAGUUGCGAACGGGUGAGUAACGCGUAGGUAACCUGCCUGGUAGCGGGGGAUAACUAUUGGAAACGAUAGCUAAUACCGCAUAAGAGUAGAUGUUGCAUGACAUUUACUUAAAAGGUGCAAUUGCAUCACUACCAGAUGGACCUGCGUUGUAUUAGCUAGUUGGUGAGGUAACGGCUCACCAAGGCAACGAUACAUAGCCGACCUGAGAGGGUGAUCGGCCACACUGGGACUGAGACACGGCCCAGACUCCUACGGGAGGCAGCAGUAGGGAAUCUUCGGCAAUGGACGGAAGUCUGACCGAGCAACGCCGCGUGAGUGAAGAAGGUUUUCGGAUCGUAAAGCUCUGUUGUAAGAGAAGAACGAGUGUGAGAGUGGAAAGUUCACACUGUGACGGUAUCUUACCAGAAAGGGACGGCUAACUACGUG
rnacentral:rRNA from 1 species